rnacentral:rRNA from 1 species
ACGUAGGGGGCGAGCGUUGUCCGGAUUUAUUGGGCGUAAAGGGCACGCAGGCGGUCCGCCGCGUUCGGGGUGACAGCUCUCGGCUUAACCGAGAGAGUGUCCUGAAAACGGGUGGACUUGAGGGCCAAAGAGGAACACAGAAUUCCGGGUGUAGUGGUGAAAUGCGUAGAUAUCCGGAGGAAUACCAACGGCGAAGGCAGUGUUCUGGGUGGUACCUGACGCUGAGGUGCGAAAGCCAGGGGAGCGAACGGGAUUAGAUACCCCGGUAGUCCUGGCCGUAAACGAUGACCACUAGGUGUGGGAGGUAUCGACCCCUUCCGUGCCGCAGUUAACACAGUAAGUGGUCCGCCUGGGGAGUACGGUCGCAAGAUUA